ACUCCUACGGGAGGCAGCAGUGGGGAAUAUUGCACAAUGGGCGCAAGCCUGAUGCAGCCAUGCCGCGUGUGUGAAGAAAGGCCUUCGGGUUGUAAAGCACUUUCAGUUGUGAGGAAGGUGGUGUCGUUAAUAGCGGCAUCAUUUGACGUUACCUACAGAAGAAGCACCGGCUAACUCCGUGCCAGCAGCCGCGGUAAUACGGAGGGUGCGAGCGUUAAUCGGAAUUACUGGGCGUAAAGCGCAUGCAGGCGGCCUGUUAAGUCAGAUGUGAAAGCCCGGGGCUUAACCUCGGAAUUGCAUUUGAAACUGGCAGGCUAGAGUCUUGUAGAGGGGGGUAGAAUUUCAGGUGUAGCGGUGAAAUGCGUAGAGAUCUGAAGGAAUACCAGUGGCGAAAGGCGGCCCCCUGGACAAAGACUGACGCUCAGAUGCGAAAAGGCUGGGGGAGCAAACAGGAUUAGAUACCCUGGUAGCACAGA
rnacentral:rRNA from 1 species